rnacentral:rRNA from 1 species
UUAUGGCUCAGGAUGAACGCUAGCGGCAAGGCUUAACACAUGCAAGUCGAGGGGCAGCGGGAUGUAGCAAUACAUGCCGGCGACCGGCGGAUGGGUGCGUAACGCGUAUGCAACCUACCUUAUACAGGGGAAUAACCUUUCGAAAGGGAGACUAACACCCCAUGGUAUUGAUUUAAGGCAUCUUAGAUUAAUUAAAUAUUUAUAGGUAUAAGAUGGGCAUGCGUAUGAUUAGCUAGUUGGUAAGGUAACGGCUUACCAAGGCGACGAUCAUUAGGGGUUCUGAGAGGAAGGUCCCCCACACUGGUACUGAGACACGGACCAGACUCCUACGGGAGGCAGCAGUGAGGAAUAUUGGUCAAUGGGCGCAAGCCUGAACCAGCCAUGCCGCGUGCAGGAAAGACGGCCUUAUGGGUUGUAAACUGCUUUUACAUAAGACUAACCGUAUAUUUGCGAAUAUACCUGAAUGUAUUAUGAGAAUAAGGAUCGGCUAACUCCGUGCCAGCAGCGGC